CAGUCGCCGCGGGAAUACGUAGGUGGCAAGCGCUGUCCGGAAUUAUUGGGCGUAGAGGGCUCGCAGGCGGUUUCUUAAGUCUGAUGUGAAAGCCCCUGGCUCAACCGGGGAGGGUCAUUGGAAACUGGGAAACUUGAGUGCAGAAGAGGAGAGUGGAAUUCCACGUGUAGCGGUGAAAUGCGUAGAGAUGUGGAGGAACACCAGUGGCGAAGGCGACUCUCUGGUCUGUAACUGACGCUGAGGAGCGAAAGCGUGGGGAGCGAACAGGAUUAGAUACCCCAGUAGUCCCUGUCUCUUAUAA
rnacentral:rRNA from 1 species